rnacentral:rRNA from 1 species
CCUACGGGAGGCAGCAGUGGGGAAUAUUGGACAAUGGGGGAAACCCUGAUCCAGCCAUGCCGCGUGUGUGAAGAAGGUCUUAGGAUUGUAAAGCACUUUAAGUUGGGAGGAAGAGCAGUUAACUAAUAUUUGACUGUUUUGACGUUACCGACAGAAUAAGCACCGGCUAACUUCGUGCCAGCAGCCGCGGUAAU